AGCGGUAUAGAUUUUAGCUUGCUAAAAUCUAUGAGAGCGGCGAACGGGUGAGUAACACGUUGGUAUCUGCCCCCAAGUCAGGGAUAGCCCACCGAAAGGUGGAUUAAUACCGGAUAGUCUCUUCGGAGUAAAAAUUUAUUGCUUGGGGAGGAACCUACGUUCUAUCAGCUUGUUGGUGAGGUAAUAGCUCACCAAGGCUAUGACGGAUAGCUGGUCUGAGAGGAUGAUCAGCCACAAUGGAACUGAGACACGGUCCAUACUCCUACGGGAGGCAGCGGUGAGGAAUCUUCCACAAUGGACGAAAGUCUGAUGGAGCGACACCGCGUGAAGGAUGAAGGCCUAACGGUUGUAAACUUCUUUUCUGAAGGAGCAUAAUGAGAGUACUUCAGGAAUAAGGGACGGCUAAAUACGUGCCAGCAGCCGCGGUAAUACGUAUGUCUCGAGCGUUACCCGGAAUCACUGGGUGUAAAGGGUUCGUAGGCUGUUUUAUAAGUUGGAUAUUAAAGACCGAAGCUCAACUUCGUGUUCGUGUUCAAAACUGUAAAACUAGAAUUAGGGAGAGGUAAGCGGAAUUCUCAGUGUAGGGGUGCAAUCCGUAGAUACUGAGAGGAACACCAAAAGCGAAGGCAGCUUACUGGAACUAUAUUGACGCUGAGGAACGAAAGCGUGGGGAGCGAAAAGGAUUAGAUACCCUUGUAGUCCACGCCCUAAACGAUGAUAACUAAGUGUUGCGACUUGCUCGCAGUGCUGAAGCUAACGCGAUAAGUUAUCCACCUGAGGGAGUACGGUCGCAAGAUUAAAACUCAAAGGAAUAGACGGGGACCCACACAAGCAGUGGAUCACGUUGGUUUAAUUCGACAAUAAACGGGGAACCUUACCCAGGCUUGACAUCUACCGAAUCUUCUAGAGGAUAGAAGAGUGCCUUUAUUGGAACGGUAAGACAGGUGCUUGCAUGGUUGUCGUCAGCUCGUGCCUUGAGGUGUUCGGGUUAAGUCCGUUAACGAGCGCAACCCAUGUCUCUAAGUUAUUAUGUCUAGAAGAGACUG
rnacentral:rRNA from 1 species